AUACAGAGGGUGCGAGCGUUAAUCGGAAUUACUGGGCGUAAAGCGCGCGUAGGCGGCUACUUAAGUCAGAUGUGAAAUCCCCGGGCUCAACCUGGGAACUGCAUCUGAUACUGGGUAGCUAGAGUUUUGGAGAGGGAAGUAGAAUUUCAGGUGUAGCGGUGAAAUGCAUAGAGAUCUGAAGGAAUACCAGUGGCGAAGGCGACUUCCUGGCCAAAAACUGACGCUGAGGUGCGAAAGCGUGGGUAGCAAACGGGAUUAGAUACCCUUGUAGUCC
rnacentral:rRNA from 1 species